CAGCCGCCGCGGUAAUACGGAGGGUGCAAGCGUUAAUCGGAAUUACUGGGCGUAAAGCGUGCGUAGGCGGUUCGUUAAGUCUGUUGUGAAAGCCCCGGGCUCAACCUGGGAAUGGCAAUGGAUACUGGCGAGCUAGAGUGUGUCAGAGGAUGGUGGAAUUCCCGGUGUAGCGGUGAAAUGCGUAGAGAUCGGGAGGAACAUCAGUGGCGAAGGCGGCCAUCUGGGACAACACUGACGCUGAGGCACGAAAGCGUGGGGAGCAAACAGGAUUAGAUACCCCCGUAGUCCCUGUCUCUUAUAA
rnacentral:rRNA from 1 species